rnacentral:rRNA from 1 species
UGGCAUCGAUGAAGAACGCAGCGAAAUGCGAUAAGUAAUGUGAAUUGCAGAAUUCAGUGAAUCAUCGAAUCUUUGAACGCACAUUGCGCCCAUUAGUAUUCUAGUGGGCAUGCCUAUUCGAGCGUCAUUUCAACCCUUAAGCCUAGUUGCUUAGUGUUGGGAAUCUGCCCUGUAUUUAUAGGGCAGUUCCUUAAAGUGAUCGGCGGAGUUAGGGCAUACUCUAAGCGUAGUAAUAUUCUUCUCGCUUCUGUAGUUGUCCUGGCGGCUUGCCGUUAAACCCCUAUAUUUCUAGUGGUUGACCUCGGAUUAGGUAGGAAUACCCGCUGAACUUAAGCAUAUCAAUAAGCGGAGGAAAAGAAACCAACAGGGAUUGCCCUAGUAACGGCGAGUGAAGCGGCAACAGCUCAAAUUUGAAAUCUGGCCCUAGCGGUCCGAGUUGUAAUUUGUAGAGGAUGCUUUUGGUUAGGUGCCUUCUGAGUUCCCUGGAACGGGACGCCAGAGAGGGUGAGAGCCCCGUACGGUUGGACACCGAGCCUCUAUAUAGCUCCUUCGACGAGUCGAGUAGUUUGGGAAUGCUGCUCUAAAUGGGAGGUAAAUUUCUUCUAAAGCUAAAUACCGGCCAGAGACCGAUAGCGCACAAGUAGAGUGAUCGAAAGAUGAAAAGUACUUUGAAAAGAGGGUUAAAUAGCACGUGAAAUUGUUGAAAGGGAAGCGUUUGCGACCAGACUUUUUCCAGGCGGAUCAUCCKGUGUUCUCACCGGUGCACUUCGCCUGGUUUAGGCCAGCAUCGGUUCUCUUAGGGGGAUAAAGGCCUGGGGAACGUAGCUCCUUCGGG